rnacentral:rRNA from 1 species
UACGGGGGGGGCAAGCGUUGUUCGGAAUUACUGGGCGUAAAGGGUUUGUAGGUGGCUUGUUAAGUCAGACGUGAAAUCCCUCAGCUUAACUGGGGAACUGCGUCUGAUACUGGAAGGCUCGAGUUCGGGAGAGGAAUGUGGAAUUCCAGGUGUAGCGGUGAAAUGCGUAGAUAUCGUUUGGAACGCCAAUGGUGAAAACAGGUAACUGGGAGUGUGCCGACGCUGAGACACGAAAGCCAGGGGAGCGAACGGG